rnacentral:rRNA from 1 species
CACUCCUACGGGAGGCAGCAGUGGGGAAUUUUGGACAAUGGGCGAAAGCCUGAUCCAGCAAUGCCGCGUGUGUGAAGAAGGCCUUCGGGUUGUAAAGCACUUUUGUCCGGAAAGAAAUCCUUGGCUCUAAUACAGUCGGGGGAUGACGGUACCGGAAGAAUAAGCACCGGCUAACUACGUGCCAGCAGCCGCGGUAAUACGUAGGGUGCGAGCGUUAAUCGGAAUUACUGGGCGUAAAGCGUGCGCAGGCGGUUUGCUAAGACCGAUGUGAAAUCCCCGGGCUCAACCUGGGAACUGCAUUGGUGACUGGCAGUCUAGAGUAUGGCAGAGGGGGGUAGAAUUCCACGUGUAGCAGUGAAAUGCGUAGAGAUGUGGAGGAAUACCGAUGGCGAAGGCAGCCCCCUGGGCCAAUACUGACGCUCAUGCACGAAAGCGUGGGGAGCAAACAGGAUUAGAUACCCGGGUAGUCCC